rnacentral:rRNA from 1 species
GAUGAACGCUGGCGGCGUGCCUAAUACAUGCAAGUCGAGCGAACGGACGAGAAGCUUGCUUCUCUGAUGUUAGCGGCGGACGGGUGAGUAACACGUGGAUAACCUACCUAUAAGACUGGGAUAACUUCGGGAAACCGGAGCUAAUACCGGAUAAUAUUUUGAACCGCAUGGUUCAAAAGUGAAAGACGGUCUUGCUGUCACUUAUAGAUGGAUCCGCGCUGCAUUAGCUAGUUGGUAAGGUAACGGCUUACCAAGGCAACGAUGCAUAGCCGACCUGAGAGGGGGAUCGGCCACACGGGAACUGAGACACGGUCCAGACUCCUACGGGAGGCAGCAGUAGGGAAUCUUCCGCAAUGGGCGAAAGCCUGACGGAGCAACGCCGCGUGAGUGAUGAAGGUCUUCGGAGCGUAAAACUCUGUUAUUAGGGAAGAACAUAUGUGUAAGUAACUGUGCACAUCUUGACGGUACCUAAUCAGAAAGCCACGGCUAACUACGUG